CACGCGCCGUGUGCGCCUCGGCUGGAGCAGGCUCAGCAGGGGCUGCUGGCAAGGGAGUGCAGCUAAGUCCCCUGCUAUUUCUCCAAGGGGAUGAUAUGGAAAGGUGGAUGGGGCGGGAGAAUAAGCUGUGUAUUUUUAAAACGCGCUAUUAAAACAUACGAGCAUGGAUCCAACCUACCCACUUACAUCUCACCGUGCAAAGAGGUUUGCUGCAGCUGUCAAUAAGGACUUAAAGAGAAGAAUGAAUAAGGGAAAGAACUGAGUUUUUGAGAGAGCAAAGAUUCAUAAAGGAAGUUGUACCCGUCAGCACCUGCUGAGGGCUUCGUUGACCAAACUGACAGG